ensembl:lncRNA
CACCGGAUACGCAGCCUGUUGACGCUACAAAGAGUCCCGGAAGACCACAAGUGCUUGUUCCUGACACAUGUGUACUGGACUCAUCCCAAGUCUUGAGUAUUAAUUCAUCCCCUGUAUUCUUCAAGAUAUCUUCAUUAUUUCAUCAAUAACAAAUGUGAAAACAGGAAGACUACGUCUAGUUUCUAAGAAAAAAAUGAAUGGGACGUCGUAUUUAUUUCCUUCCUUUUUGAUAGCUUGUCUAUUACUCUGUGAUCAAGAGGAGCACUGUGCGGUAUUCAUCUGCACAUACACGCCCAUCAUAUCAGCCUGCAUAGACAGAUUAUUACUCAAGUGUUGAGGCCUCUCUACUUGGAGGAGUGAUACAUAAAAAAAAACUAAAACCUGGGCUGAUGGACAGGAUUUUUAUGUAGACCAAAUUCUAGCAUAGUAAUCUGGGAAUUUGGGUUUGAAGAAGAUAGAAAAUGUUUCUGUGAGAUGUGUACAGGGUUUUUGUGUGUCUGUCUCUAUUUAGACGACGUAAAUCCGAACCAGGAAGAAGCGAUAGCAGAAACCUGCGGCCUUGAACUCCGUGACAAGCCUCACGUGAAAACUGCAGGCCAGCAAAGAAGUGUAAAGUCUUCCUGGAAGCACGACUUUUGUUUAAAACCAUACCACUUAUCCCCUCCCCCUUCGGCGCUGUCCCACAGUGCAGCCACGCCCACAGAAAAGUCCCCAUCGCUUCUCCACAGCGUCAAAAGGUUCUCAGAGGAUGGAUCCAACAACAAAGCAAAACGGAAGAAGGAGGAAAGUGAACCAGAGAUGCAAGAGGAUGACAAACCGGGGGUCCGGGGAGGGGCGGACAAACCGAACGAAGGCCGAAAAAUGCAACCAGAACUGCUGAAACGAAGCUCCACACCUUCAGCCAGUCCACUUUCGAAGGAGUGCCUGGUGAACGGCAGGGAUCAGUCUGCACAAAACCGGAGUCUGAGCCAAAGGCCAAAUGUCUGUCCUGUUUUCAAGAAGCCAAAUGUGAAGGCAAAAUCCAUCGAGUGCUUUUUUAGGAGCAAGGCGAAUCCCCAGGAGGAUCCGAAUGGCUCAUGUGAGCAACAGAAAGGAAAAGAUGCUGGAUGGAGGCCCAAAGUGGAGCCCGCGUGGAGUAUUGACCCGGCGCUUGGCCCGUCCAUGUACGACAGCGAGUGGAGAGGCGACGAGGUAACGUCACAUGACCUGAUCUCACCCGGCGUCAUUGUGCUCAACUCAAAUGCGCCAUCUUUUAAAUAUUUUUAUUGUUGCUAACCCUGAGAAACAUAAUCUAAUUUUCUAUGUCUGACCUAAAUAGUUUUUUCUCCUAACAAAAUACUUUUUUUUAACCUGGCAAAUAAAGAGCCAGUAAAAGUGUCCAUGGCCACUGUUUCUUUUCACUGGUAUUUUAUGUGGUCCAAAUAUGUCUUGAUUUAAGAUGAAGGAAGAAGAAGAAGA